rnacentral:misc_RNA from 1 species
CCAGUAUGUUCAUUAGUCAUGCCACAAUGUGACUAAACACUUCCGCCCCGUACACCCUCGUCAGGGCAACAAAGGGUACACGCAAGGCAAUACACAGACAUUUACCGUGUGGUUUCUACCGAAUGACAAACUGCUGCAACCACGGAAAUUAAUUUAUCAAUAAAGAUAAUGUCAUAUGUAUAGCUCUUAAUGCCGGGUGAAGCAUGGUUGGAACACCGCCUGUCUCCGUAAAACAGUGGACGACUAUUGUAGUGUUGACGUGUAUUUUGGGGAGGAAUGGAUACAGUAUCAACUUCGGCCCAAUCAUCUUUGAAGGUUCCUGUGAACGAAUGUCCUGGCCGUCAGCCGUCACACACUGCAGUAUCAGGGGAGGGGCGAUGUUCAGCCUGUCUGAUCUCGAGCAGGCUUACGGGCUAAACAUCAAGUCGAAGGCCACGGAGGAACAUCAGCUCAUAUGGAUCGAUCACAGGAACAGGGAAAAGGAAAACGUGCAGAACCAGGAUUGCUGGCUGUUGUCACACUCACUUCUUCUGCAAAACAUGACCUGUAGUGAAGCACAGCACUUUGUUUGUCGUUUGAAUGGUGACCCGGAAUCGACAUGGACGAAAUGGGGUAAAGAGCCGCCUUAUAGAAGAUGUGAGCAGUCAAUGCAAGCUAUAUCUACCCGCCUUCCCCCGAGGACCAGAGUAACCACAGUUUCUCCCCCAAGACGAGGCUACUCAGAUACAGGUUCUUCUUCUGGCUCAGGUUCCCCUUCUGGUUCAGGUUCUUCUUCUGGAUCAGGUUCUUCUUCUGGCUCUAAGUUUCCUAAAAGAAUGAAAAUUCUGGUCAUAUCUAUUGCCUGCAUCCUGCUGGUGGGGAUGUGCGUUGUUGUCUACUGCUUUCUAAAUGAUAUUGGGAAGAGGAUAGGAGUUGAAAGGCGAUGCUCCCAUCGAAGACACAGGAGACGUUACUGAGCUGAUGAAGUGGUUGUUCUGGUCCGUUUGGCCGACAGUGAUAAAUGAAUGGGGAAUGAGUUGCGUGUUACACCGCAACGAACAGUAUUCAGUUAUAUCUCGACGUGUCAGUUUUAUGUACGUUGAAAGUAGACCCUUACCAUUUCAUCGUAGUGAAACUUAUAAUCAGUGCGAAUUUGGGAUUCAAAAGCACGAUCAGCGGAUCCUUGCGCGACUAAGGGAAGUAACCCUGCACAGAGAAUUAUGAUGUUUAAACCGAUUGUGCCAUCCGUACGCGUCCCCCUCCAGGUAACAGAAGAGGCGUCUGAAAUACUGUUUCCUAUCACCAAGUGUGCAUUGACUCCGCAUAAUGUUUCAGAAGGUUGUAUUAUCUAGCCUAAGUUUAACAUGAUAUUCUCGAUAAACGUCAAUGGAAGACGUUCCAACAGUUUGUGGCUUGUCGUAAAAUGCGGCUAUUUCUGAUCAGGUGGCAGGCACGGUGACUCGCUUGACUGUGUGUCAUUGUACUGUGACAGAAUUGAACGUUGCUCAUAAUAUCAAUCACAAGUUUGUCUGGCCCAGAUUCAAUUAUCUACAUGCCUCCUUAGCUUGCAUAUUGUUGUUUGUGGCGUUAAUACAAGAACAAGACAUACAAUAGUCAAAGUACUACCUUUCUUAGUGUUAACGUGGAGCAAUUUACACGUGUCCCCUGUACAUUGUAUUGCUUCGUGUGUAGUAAGGGGCGGUCGGGUAGCCUAGGGGUUAAAGCGUUCGCUCGUCACGCCGAAGAGCAGGGUUCGAUUCCCGACAUGGGUACAAUGUGUGAAGCCCAUUUCUGGUGUCCCCCGCCGUGGU